rfam:Aerococcus urinae ACS-120-V-Col10a, complete genome.
GGAGGAUUACUCAAGAGGCCGAAGAGGACGGUUUGCUAAAUCGUUAGGUCGGGAAACUGACGCAAGGGUUCGAAUCCCUUAUCCUCCG